rnacentral:lncRNA from 1 species
GAAAUUCAUCCACGUCAAAAUCUAAUCUCAUAUAGCCGUACAUUACGUGACAUGAUUAUGCAUUCCCGAAUGGGAUAGGGCCCUUACCGGAGGCAUAAGGUGACAUUAUGACUUCGUAUGAAGUUGUUGUGAUUGUUGUGUAGUGAUUAUGGUUCUAGGAAUUAUGAGCAGGAGGUGGAUACAAAACCAGAAAAGAUGCGUAGACGAAUACUUGGAUGGAAUCGAGGAUUUUAUUGAGUUUGCACGUACACAC